UGGGAGAGCGCUUGCAUGGCAUGCAAGAGGUCGUCGGUUCGAUCCCGAUCGGCUCCA
rnacentral:tRNA from 1 species